rnacentral:rRNA from 1 species
UACGUAGGGGUCGAGCGUUGUCCGGAGUUACUGGGCGUAAAGCGCGUGCAGGUGGCUCAUUACGCCCGGCGUGAAAGCCCCCGGCUCAACUGGGGGAUGUCGUGCGAUACGGGCGGACUGGAGGCCAGUAGGGGGAUGCGGAAUUCCGGGUGUAGUGGUGGAAUGCGUAGAGAUCCGGAGGAACACCAGCGGCGAAGGCGGCAUCCUGGACUGGUCCUGACACUCAGGAGCGAAAGCGUGGGGAGCGAGUCCGG